UACGUAGGGUGCAAGCGUUGUCCGGAAUUAUUGGGCGUAAAGAGCUCGUAGGCGGUUUGUCGCGUCUGCUGUGAAAACCCGAGGCUCAACCUCGGGCCUGCAGUGGGUACGGACAGACUAGAGUGCGGUAGGGGAGAUUGGAAUUCCUGGUGUAGCGGUGGAAUGCGCAGAUAUCAGGAGGAACACCGAUGGCGAAGGCAGAUCUCUGGGCCGUAACUGACGCUGAGGAGCGAAAGCAUGGGGAGCGAACAGG
rnacentral:rRNA from 1 species